rnacentral:misc_RNA from 1 species
GAUGAAGAACGUAGCGAAAUGCGAUACGUAAUGUGAAUUGCAGAAUUCAGUGAAUCAUCGAGUCUUUGAACGCACAUUGCGCCCCCUGGUAUUCCGGGGGCAUGCCUGUCCGAGCGUCAUUGCUGCCCUCAAGCACGGCUUGUGUGUUGGGCCUCCGUCCUCCUCCCGGGGGACGGGCCCGAAAGGCAGCGGCGGCACCGCGUCCGGUCCUCGAGCGUAUGGGGCUUCGUCACCCGCUCUUGUAGGCCCGGCCGGCGCUUGCCGACACAUCAAUCUUUUUUCCAGGUUGACCUCGGAUCAGGUAGGGAUACCCGCUGAACUUAAGCAUAUCAAUAAGCGGAGGA